UACGGAGGUGCGAGCGUUGUCCGGAAUCACUGGGCGUAAAGGGCGCGUAGGCGGCUCCGGCAGUCUGUGGUGAAAGGCCCAAGGGCCUCAACUCUGGGUCGGCCACGGAUACUCCGGGGGCUGGAGCACACUAGAGGCGGAUGGAAUUCCGGGUGUAGCGGUGGAAUGCGUAGAGAUCCGGAAGACACCGGUGGCGAAGGCGGUCCGACUGGGGUCGUUG
rnacentral:rRNA from 1 species